UGAACCCUACAAAACACAAACCACUUAUACCAUUUUUGGAUCAAAAUUUCUAAACAAAUAAUAAUAAUAAUAAAACCAGAUCUUAGAAAUGGCUUCAAGAUGCAGCAGAUUCAUAAACAAAUCAUCAUUUUCAAAUCUGAAAUCCGCUUUUAAAUCAACCCCACGUACUAAUAUCCCAAAAUCCACCCCAAAAUCCCCCUUUUCAACAUCCUCCCCUGUUCCCAGAUUCUCUUUUUCAAGGUGUCCAUCUGAACUUGGAGGGGUGCAAUCACUGUUACCGCUACAUAAUGCGGUUUCUGCAGCAAGGUUGACAUCCUGCCUGAGCACAACUUCGAGGAGUUGCAGAUCUCUUUCGCAGGGUAUACUCUGCUGUACCUCUCCCAGCCUCUAAUAUGUUUUUUUGUUAUUUAAUUGCACAUGAUUUUCCUAAUGCAUGAAAGAAAUGAACUGAGAUUUACGAGACCCGUCUUCGUGUCAAGCAUGAGUGCUUUGUCAACCAUCAUAAAAGUUAUAGGGUUAUAAGUAGACCGAUUUACAAUCACCACUGUAUUAAUGAAUAUGAUGGGACGUGAUGUUUCUAGAGGUGGGAUUUCUUCAUCAUGCUAUUAAGAAGGAACUCUACUUGGAUCAUAUAUGCUUGCUUUCAUCCACAUUUUUUAAGUAGUAGGACGUUAAACCAUUUAGAAUACUAGUUUCUGCAUGAAGUUGACUAAUUGUGAGCACAUUGUGAGUAAUUUAGUUGAACAUAACUUAGAAGGUGGCAUCCGUAUCUGAUUUGGGUUCUUUUUUGUUUGAAUUAGAGCUGGGUUUAUCGGUACCAAGGUGACCUGUGCAGACAUCUGGACUAAGAAACAUUUACCUCAUUGAACAUGGAGGCAGAGUUUGUAGUUCGAUUCAUUUGUUUGUAAUUCAUAAAAGGUGCUUGAAUAUCCACAAUACAGUGCAGCAGAUAUUGGUCUUCAUUAGCAAAAACCAAUUCAUUUAGAGUUCUUAUUUUGAGAUUGCAUGCACAAGUAUUUCUGUGCAUGUUAAAGUCUUUACAUCCAACUUCCAGAUA